GCCCACAAAUCAUCCAUGCUCUCCGUUGCAUCGUCCAUUCACGUUCCUUCCUCUCUCUCAACGCAGACCUAGGUCCGUCCCCCGCCGCAACCUACCGAAUCUCGCGCACUCGUGAUAGAGACGGCGAUGCCUCACGCCCCAGCGGCCGGGCUGGAGUUCCUGAACAGAGUCGGGAAGGGCGUGGAGACGCAUGCCGCGGAGCUAAAGGAGCCAGUGGGCGGCGAUAUCCAUAGUCUGCUCGAGAGUCGAGACUCGAGACCCUCACCUUCCUUAACGGGAUCCGUGGAAGCCGCGACGUCUUCUCCCGCCGAUUCCUCCUCCAUGGGUUCCAUGGCCGCCGCCCCAUGCGCCUCAAGCUAUGCGAUGAGACCGGAGCCAGGGUCGCGGGCGACCAUUAUGAUGCGUUCGUCAAUGCAUGCCCCCCCUAUGACGAGUACGGGAUGCCUAUCAUUGAUUUUGAUUAUUCGUCAGUGAUCUCCAGUGGCCGGUUGGAAGAGAGAUCCUCCUUGAGAAGCGCACCAUAUAAGAUGGAGCACAUGAUUAGCUUAGCAGUAGGGGACGGCAUAAGUACUCAGCUCCCAGAGGGAAAGACAGAUGAGGCAAGCAAGUUCAUGCAGUGGCAACGCGAACAUGGCAGCAUCUCA